AUGGGAUUGGGCCCUGUUCUGAACUCCAGUGCUAAACUAAAGAAGGAAAAACUGGAUACCAAACAUGUCUGGGCUAAUUGACAACAUCUGUGUGAAAAUACAGUGGACAUCAACGGCCCUUGUUCAAGAAGGGCGUAUCGUCUUCAUCAUCAUUGUCAUCAUCAUGAUUUUCAUUUUCUAUACCACCAGUUAUCAGUAUUUUCAGUAAAGUCUUUUCUUCAAUGUUACAAGU